AGCCCAGCUCUCAGGACUGAGGCAGCAGCUUGCUGCCAGCCAGAAAGGGAGUAACAUCACUGGGCUGUGUUACUGUUCCAGGAACAUCUUGGAGUGCUCCAUAAAAAUGUGCUGGCAGAUUGAAAAGAAGUUCCUCCAAAAGACCUUUCCAGUCUAAUGGAUGAAGGUGCCAGUUGUGUCCUCUCAUCAACACAGACCAUAUCAUCACUGGACACAGCAACAUGGGUUAUAACAUCCAAGAUUUACUCUCCUGCUCCUCAACCACUGUCAUAUGUACCAUCACAUAUUUACAAUAUGUACCAUAUUUACAAUGCCCCUCCUUGGCUGUAUUGGCUAUAUUGGCCAGGCAGGGAAAUUCCUAUGUAAAAGAAUGAAUGGACAAUAAAA